UGUGUGUGUGUGUGUGUGUGUGUGUGUGUGUGUGUGUGUGUCAGAGCUCAGAGCUGCUGCUGCCUCCCAGUAACACCAGCACCACCAGUCUGACGGACGGAGGACAAGAUCAGGUGAUGCUGCAGACGUCGCUCCACCGCCUGAGCAGCCAGGAAGUGGGCGUGUCCUUGGGCCCAGUGGGCGGAGCUACGCUGCCAUCAGCAGGUGGAGACGCCAGUGAAGCCGAGGAAGAGGAGAGGAACCUUCAUCCUCAGACAGACGACAGCCUGGAGGSGGCGGACGGAAUGACCUUUCACCUGCCUGGKUUCCAUGGUGAUGAGGCGGGGCUAGAGCUGGCCCUGUAGCAGAGACCACGCCCCCUGCUGGUCACCUUUAUAAUAACCCUGUAGUUCAUUGAGCUGCUGUUACUGAAGCUCGUUAGAUGAUCAAUAAUCAAUAAYCUGAUGAUUUAAUAAACAUAUUUACAUCCA